GGGUUGUGAGGUUAAGCGACUAAGCGUACACGGUGGAUGCCCUGGCAGUCAGAGGCGAUGAAGGRCGUGCUAAUCUGCGAUAAGCGCCGGUAAGGUGAUAUGAACCGUUAUAACCGGCGAUWYCCGAAUGGGGAAACCCAGUGUGAUUCGUCACACUAUCAUUAACUGAAUCCAUAGGUUAAUGAGGCGAACCGGGGGAACUGAAACAUCUAAGUACCCCGAGGAAAAGAAAUCAACCGAGAUUCCCCCAGUAGCGGCGAGCGAACGGGGAGGAGCCCAGAGCCUGAAUCAGCAUGCCUGUCUGAAUAUGGGGGGACCAUCCUCCAAGGCUAAAUACUCCUGACUGACCGAUAGUGAACCAGUACCGUGAGGGAAAGGCGAAAAGAACCCCGGCGAGGGGAGUGAAAAAGAACCUGAAACCGUGUACGUACAAGCAGUGGGAGCACCCUUCGGGGUGUGACUGCGUACCUUUUGUAUAAUGGGUCAGCGACUUAUAUUCUGUAGCAAGGUUAACCGAAUAGGGGAGCCGGAGGGAAACCGAGUCUUAACCGGGCGUUAAGUUGCAGGGUAUAGACCCGAAACCCGGUGAUCUAGCCAUGGGCAGGUUGAAGGUUGGGUAACACUAACUGGAGGACCGAACCGACUAAUGUUGAAAAAUUAGCGGAUGACCUGUGGCUGGGGGUGAAAGGCCAAUCAAAC
rnacentral:rRNA from 1 species